rnacentral:rRNA from 1 species
UUAAUAUUCCUGUACUUGGUGUUACUGCGAAGGGGGGACGGAGAAGGCUAUGUUGGCCGGGCGACGGUUGUCCCGGUUUAAGCGUGUAGGCUGGUUUUCCAGGCAAAUCCGGAAAAUCAAGGCUGAGGCGUGAUGACGAGGCACUACGGUGCUGAAGCAACAAAUGCCCUGCUUCCAGGAAAAGCCUCUAAGCAUCAGGUAACAUCAAAUCGUACCCCAAACCGACACAGGUGGUCAGGUAGAGAAUACCAAGGCGCUUGAGAGAACUCGGGUGAAGGAACUAGGCAAAAUGGUGCCGUAACUUCGGGAGAAGGCACGCUGAUAUGUAGGUGAAGUCCCUCGCGGAUGGAGCUGAAAUCAGUCGAAGAUACCAGCUGGCUGCAACUGUUUAUUAAAAACACAGCACUGUGCAAACACGAAAGUGGACGUAUACGGUGUGACGCCUGCCCGGUGCCGGAAGGUUAAUUGAUGGGGUCAGCGCAAGCGAAGCUCUUGAUCGAAGCCCCGGUAAACGGCGGCCGUAACUAUAACGGUCCUAAGGUAGCGAAAUUCCUUGUCGGGUAAGUUCCGACCUGCACGAAUGGCGUAAUGAUGGCCAGGCUGUCUCCACCCGAGACUCAGUGAAAUUGAACUCGCUGUGAAGAUGCAGUGUACCCGCGGCAAGACGGAAAGACCCCGUGAACCUUUACUAUAGCUUGACACUGAACAUUGAGCCUUGAUGUGUAGGAUAGGUGGGAGGCUUUGAAGUGUGGACGCCAGUCUGCAUGGAGCCGACCUUGAAAUACCACCCUUUAAUGUUUGAUGUUCUAACGUGGACCCGUGAUCCGGGUUGCGGACAGUGUCUGGUGGGUAGUUUGACUGGGGCGGUCUCCUCCUAAAGAGUAACGGAGGAGCACGAAGGUUGGCUAAUCCUGGUCGGACAUCAGGAGGUUAGUGCAAUGGCAUAAGCCAGCUUGACUGCGAGCGUGACGGCGCGAGCAGGUGCGAAAGCAGGUCAUAGUGAUCCGGUGGUUCUGAAUGGAAGGGCCAUCGCUCAACGGAUAAAAGGUACUCCGGGGAUAACAGGCUGAUACCGCCCAAGAGUUCAUAUCGACGGCGGUGUUUGGCACCUCGAUGUCGGCUCAUCACAUCCUGGGGCUGAAGUAGGUCCCAAGGGUAUGGCUGUUCGCCAUUUAAAGUGGUACGCGAGCUGGGUUUAGAACGUCGUGAGACAGUUCGGUCCCUAUCUGCCGUGGGCGCUGGAGAACUGAGGGGGGCUGCUCCUAGUACGAGAGGACCGGAGUGGACGCAUCACUGGUGUUCGGGUUGUCAUGCCAAUGGCACUGCCCGGUAGCUAAAUGCGGAAGAGAUAAGUGCUGAAAGCAUCUAAGCACGAAACUUGCCCCGAGAUGAGUUCUCCCUGACCCUUUAAGGGUCCUGAAGGAACGUUGAAGACGACGACGUUGAUAGGCCGGGUGUGUAAGCGCAGCGAUGCGUUGAGCUAACCGGUACUAAUGAACCGUGAGGCUUAACCUU